rnacentral:rRNA from 1 species
AACGAACGCUGGCGGCGUGUUUAAGACAUGCAAGUCGCACGGGACUAUUUGAGUAGCAAUACAAGAAUAGUUUAGUGGCGCACGGGUGAGUAACACGUGAAUUACAUGCCCUGCAGAGGGGGAUAGCCCAGGGAAACUUGGAUUAAUACCCCAUGGUAUCGCGAGAUUAAAGGUGGCCGCAAGGCUGUCGCUGCAGGAUUGGUUCGCGCCCUAUCAGCUUGUUGGUGAGGUAACGGCUCACCAAGGCUACGACGGGUACCUGGUCUGAGAGGACUAACCCCCACACUGGUACUGAGACACGGACCAGACUCCUACGGGAGGCAGCAGUAAGGAAUAUUGGUCAAUGGAGGCAACUCUGAACCAGCCAUGCCGCGUGCAGGAUGACGGCCCUAUGGGUUGUAAACUGCUUUUGUACCAGAGAAAACCACCGUACGUGUACGGUGUUGAUAGUAUGGUAAGAAUAAGCAUCGGCUAACUUCGUGCCAGCAGCCGACGG